GGAGAAACUGUGGCUUAGUGGGAGAGCACCUGUUUGGCAUGCAGAAAGUCCCAAGUUCGAUCCCAAGCGUCUCCA
rnacentral:tRNA from 1 species